CCUACGUAGUGCUCCGCAGUGGUCGGUGACAUCAGUGAGACCGGCAUACAUAAUCCGUAGAGAAGAAUCGAAACGCGGGAGGAUUGCGUUACAUAGAGGUGCAUUUUCAAGUGCGGCUAAGCAUAUAUACGGAACAUUGUCGGAUACUUGUGGUGGUGCCGUAAUAACCGCACCACCUAUCAGACGUAAAAAGACGUAAGGCAGUACCGGUGUAUACACACUUCGUCUUGUACUAAGAUUAAAACGAGACGAGACUCAAGUGAUAAACGAAUUCUCUCUAACGAGGCAAAUGAGCGGUUAGUUCGGAGGAUCCGCCGGUUACAUAGCCGUAUGACUCCUGGGAAAAUGUAUGCGCUGCACUACUAACUGUUCGACGUUUGAAUGCAUAUAGUUCCGUUGAAGUGCUACCAAGAUCAAGAAAGCAGCGAAGUCUAGUUGUUUUCCCAACUUCAUUGGAGUGACAAAUCGGACUUCGUACGGUACCUUGAUUUAGGCGGUCCGAAAGAUAACAAAAGGAAUCAGCUCUAGUGGACAAGCCUGGCCGUACUAGUCCUGCAGACUGAGAAGCCCACAUAACCUGUUAUCGACAAUGAGCUGAGAGUGCAUGAUCCUGAUAGCCAUCUCGAGAAGCGGCAUGUGUGCGUGAGAGACGGCAUCCGAUCAGGCCGAGCUCAGGAAUGCGUACACUCCCUAAAUUGGAAGCUUCCGGUACAUCUAGUUGCCCGCCGGGCGUACUAUUCAGACAUACUACUCAGUAUCGAAGAACUGAAGUUGCAUGGGCUUAAUCGAAAUCGCCUAAAGGAGUUGCUGCGUGACGAAUUUGGGCAUUUAUUCAGAAGACUAAAGGGUUUCGCGCUCCACACGGUCCCGAUAGGCAAUACACGUGUGUACACAGUGCUGCUUAUUAAGAGUGCGUUAAAAGAAAGAUUGGAUUGGUCAAGUAAAAUCGCUCAUCCAAACUAGAGGUCAUAGAAGCAACACACUUGCACGCAGGAGGGUUAAUCUGCGCAUCACAAUUUAAGCAACGGAAACCAGCAAAAGGAAAAACGCCAGCAUAUCAGCGAACUGCGUAAUAUAGUCCUACGCAUUAAGGAAGGGGCUACGCGGGAUUGACUCUGAACAGCUAUUUAGCACGUUUUAUCAUGCUCACUUUCGUUCGAAUCGGCAGCCCGUACACAUUCGUAUAGCUGACCUCGGUAGUGAUGAGACAUCACGUACAACGUGCGCACGCUCCAGGACCCCUAAGCAUUGUACGUAAUAUGCUUUCCAUCUUUUUUAAUCGCAAAAAAACAGUCGUCUAAACGGAACCUUUAAAGUGGUCCAGGUUCGAAUUCAUGCUGGAGAUAAGCCAACUGUCUGAUGGAACGCCUAACGACGAUGCCGGACGUCGAACUCAAAACAGAGAAAUUUUUUUUUUUUAUUAUACAGUAAUAAAAUGCGACUUUGAGGAAUUUAUAAUUUUGUGCUAUGCUACAAUGGUGGCUUGAGGAAUUUCAGGUUAUUUGAAUUGAUGCAGAUGGAUGGACCAGACUAAGAACGUCUAGAUUAGAUAGUUGCCCGUGGAGAAUGUAAUCGAAAUAUUAUAUUUAUACAGGUGGAAUGAUAUAUUAUGCUUGGUCGAAUCCGCCGGAAGUGAGCACGGAAGCUACGUCUCUAGCCAAAGCUCCACUUGUCAUAAUUACAUUGUACGACAUGAUCUUAGAUAUGCGACGCCACUGCGGGCGCACACGAGCUAUAAAACCGUGUAGUACGGAAUUCCUUAAAUUUUAGAUAAUGGUAGACAACCGCUUCACCGCGUGGGUCUUGUAGAGCGAUUUCAGUCUCGCAUGCUAACAUACAACAAAUCUGGCCACCAUUGGAAUGCUAAAUGUAAUGCUCCUGUCGAGCAACACAUGCGUACAUUUGGUCUAUGGUAAGUCCGCGGGACAAAUUCGGUUACAAAGUAAUCCCUUUAGCAGUCCCAAUUAGGAGGCUCCUCAG